CUCAGGACUGCAAAGUCAGGCUGCACUGAAACAACCUAAGGAAGAAUUCAGACCCCUGUUGUCCAAACACACGCAGACAGCACACACAAGUAGAAGAUCCUACAUCUGCUUGUUUUCCGUGGACAAAGCCCUCCCUUUCCCUGAGUAUGUGUGUGAAACAAUCUUUGCAGCUACAGAGCGGCCCGAUGGUAUUGAUCCAGAUGUGGAAAUUGGUAUUGACUGCUGUUGCUGCCCCGUGCACUUCUCCGGCUUUUAAAGACACAGCGUAGAGGUGAUUUCACUUUGCACAAGACAUAGUUCUGGAGACAUAUGCUGAAGCACACUAAAUACUACAAAUUAAACACUGGGUGUCAUAGCUGCUCCCCAGUUUAAAACAAGGAGGAGCCCCUAAGAAUCCAAACACAUGACCGUAGAAAGGAGAGCAAGACACUCCUAUCCAAAAAAAAAAAAAAAAAAAGAAGAAGAAAUUAUU
rnacentral:lncRNA from 1 species